UGGGGAAUAUUGCACAAUGGGGGAAACCCUGAUGCAGCGACGCCGCGUGAGUGAUGAAGUAUUUCGGUAUGUAAAGCUCUAUCAGCAGGGAAGAUAAUGACGGUACCUGACUAAGAAGCACCGGCUAAAUACGUGCCAGCAGCCGCGGUAAUACGUAUGGUGCAAGCGUUAUCCGGAUUUACUGGGUGUAAAGGGUGCGUAGGUGGCAAGGCAAGUCUGAAGUGAAAAUCCGGGGCUCAACCCCGGAACUGCUUUGGAAACUGUUUAGCUAGAGUACAGGAGAGGUAAGUGGAAUUCCUAGUGUAGCGGUGAAAUGCGUAGAUAUUAGGAGGAACACCAGUGGCGAAGGC
rnacentral:rRNA from 1 species